rnacentral:rRNA from 1 species
CGCGUUAAAUCGACCGCCUGGGGAGUACGGCCGCAAGGUUAAAACUCAAAUGAAUUGACGGGGGCCCGCACAAGCGGUGGAGCAUGUGGUUUAAUUCGAUGCAACGCGAAGAACCUUACCUACUCUUGACAUCCAGAGAACUUUCCAGAGAUGCUUUGGUGCCUUCGGGAACUCUGAGACAGGUGCUGCAUGGCUGUCGUCAGCUCGUGUUGUGAAAUGUUGGGUUAAGUCCCGCAACGAGCGCAACCCUUAUCCUUUGUUGCCAGCGGUUCGGCCGGGAACUCAAAGGAGACUGCCAGUGAUAAACUGGAGGAAGGUGGGGAUGACGUCAAGUCAUCAUGGCCCUUACGAGUAGGGCUACACACGUGCUACAAUGGCAUAUACAAAGAGAAGCGACCUCGCGAGAGCAAGCGGACCUCAUAAAGUAUGUCGUAGUCCGGAUUGGAGUCUGCAACUCGACUCCAUGAAGUCGGAAUCGCUAGUAAUCGUAGAUCAGAAUGCUACGGUGAAUACGUUCCCGGGCCUUGUACACACCGCCCGUCACACCAUGGGAGUGGGUUGCAAAAGAAGUAGGUAGCUUAACCUUCGGGAGGGCGCUUACCACUUUGUGAUUCAUGACUGGGGUGAAG